rnacentral:rRNA from 1 species
GAUGAACGCUAGCUACAGGCUUAACACAUGCAAGUCGAGGGGAAACGACAUCGAAAGCUUGCUUUUGAUGGGCGUCGACCGGCGCACGGGUGAGUAACGCGUAUCCAACCUGCCCACCACUUGGGGAUAACCUUGCGAAAGUAAGACUAAUACCCAAUGACGUCUCUAGAAGACAUCUGAAAGAGAUUAAAGAUUUAUCGGUGAUGGAUGGGGAUGCGUCUGAUUAGCUUGUUGGCGGGGUAACGGCCCACCAAGGCGACGAUCAGUAGGGGUUCUGAGAGGAAGGUCCCCCACAUUGGAACUGAGACACGGUCCAAACUCCUACGGGAGGCAGCAGUGAGGAAUAUUGGUCAAUGGACGAGAGUCUGAACCAGCCAAGUAGCGUGCAGGAUGACGGCCCUAUGGGUUGUAAACUGCUUUUAUAAGGGAAUAAAGUGAGUCUCGUGAGACUUUUUGCAUGUACCUUACGAAUAAGGACCGGCUAAUUCCGUG